CUGGUGCUAUGUGGGAGUGGUUGUGCCUUCCAUGGCAUAUCUGUUUGUAGUACUGGCACUUAAAUUUUUUAAAAUAAAAACUCAAAUUCUACAGAAUCUGAGGGAGUCACCAGGUUGCUUUAUUUGUACCUACGUGAAGGGGGUGUUCAAACCCAAGAUUCCUGAUUGGAUGACAAACAUUUUUAUGAGCAGGAGGAAGGAUGUUAGGAUUCAGUUACAAUUUUGACAGCCAUGUAUCAUUAUGAAUGAAGAAAAUAAUUUUCAGUGACCAAAAGUUAUAACUACUGAAUCCACACAGCAUCAGUGGAUCCAUGACACUAAACUCAUGGAGAAGGAUCAGACUAUGAAAAACCUAUAUGGAUGUGAAAUAGCAUCAUUUAAUCUAUCAAUACACUUCUACACUGCAAACAGAG